ensembl:lncRNA
GCGAAUAUAUUCAGCACCAAGGCCAGCGGUCAGAAACAGAUCGGUUAGUUCAAUAGCUUUUCACUUGAGACUACGGAAAGGGAUACUCCGCAGACCUAUGGAUAUUUGUAAACGCGAUCAGAUUUUCUUCUCAUUUCGUAAGGAAGGAAUCAACAAGAGGACCCGGAAUUGUUGGCAUGGCAACAGCACCCUUAAAGCAGCAAUAAGGAGUUCUGUUCCAAAACUAGCAAGCUAUCGCUAGAUAACUCCCUAAAGGCAUGCAAAGGCAUUUUUGCAGGGUAUUCCAGCCCGGUACACAGAACUACAUAGGGCAUAUCCUGGAUGGCCAGUGGGAAAGACGGAUGAACUAUCAUGAACUAUCAUGGAUGUGGUGAUUAACAUUAUCACAGAGCAACGGAUCUGAGGUUUAUAGAUCAGCUUCUGAAAACCUCAGUUAGGCCAAAGUAAACUUAUUGUAGCAGUGCCUUGUUAGACUGGCAUUAACGUUAUAUGAAGGGCUACUUAAAUCUAGAGGCCACUAAUACAUGUGAGUCCUGGGGUAGAGAAAUUAAGACACUAAAUUACAGAGAUGGUAGGCGCGCUGGAACCUCUUUCAUGCAAGGGGGGCUGUGGGCUCCAUAUAUAUCUAUGGUGGGCUCUACUAAAAUAUGUGACAUCACAGCAAUAUGAUAUUAGACAAGUAUUUAGAGGCAAUUUAGAAGCACUGAUUGAUUACUAGUUUGUUUUGAUUGCCAAAAUAGGUUAUCCUUUCACAGAAAUGUAUUUUCAUCACUAUGGAUUUAAGAAGAUAUCAAGACAACAGGCUGAAGUAUGGGCACAUGUAGUGAGUGGUCAGAGAUGAAGAGAAUCUCUUCAACUGAUAUAAUUCAAUUUAUUACAUUUUUAUUCAUAAUAUAAUAUAAUAUUCACUGGAUUGGAACAAUAACUGAAAAAGUAUGUGACAAUCUACAGAAGCAUCAUCCAUCCAACAACAGGUAAAAGCCCGGCUGAAUUGCUUUUCAACCGAAAGAUGAGAGGAAAGCUACCUGAACUGAUUGAAGUGUACACGGAUCAGGAUGUAUGUGACCGUGACCCUGAGCAAAAGGCUAAGUAGAGUAAGCUGUAUGCAGACACACGCAGAGGAGCGCAGCAGUCAGAAGCAGUCAGAGACCAAUACAACAGCAUGAAGUCCUCUCUGCUCUUCGUAAUUCUAAAUGUAUGAAGAGCUCAGUGGGUGCAGACCAGUUAGACCCACGUCUCUUG